rnacentral:rRNA from 1 species
GACGAACGCUGGCGGCAUGCCUAACACAUGCAAGUCGAGCGAGUUGAUCCUUUCGGGGUGAAGCUAGCGGCGGACGGGUAAGUAACACGUGGGCAACCUGCCUCAUAGAGGGGAAUAGCCUUCCGAAAGGAAGAUUAAUACCGCAUAAGAUUGUAGCUUCGCAUGAAGUAACAAUUAAAGGAGCAAUCCGCUAUGAGAUGGGGCCCGCGGCGCAUUAGCUAGUUGGUGAGGUAACGGCUCACCAAGGCGACGAUGCGUAGCCGACCUGAGAGGGUGAUCGGGCCACAUUGGGACUGAGACACGGCCCAGGACUCCUACGGGAGGCAGGCAGUGGGGAAUAUUGCACAAUGGGGGAAACCCUGAAUGCAGCAACGCCGCGUGAGUGAUGACGGC